rnacentral:ncRNA from 1 species
ACAGUUUUGGUCCUGGGCUUACCGUUAUUUUUUGUUGAGAUUAUACAUGCAAGCCUCCUCAAACCAGUGAAAAUGCCCAAAAAAUCCCCAAAAGAUUGAUGGAGCAGGCAUCAGGCACUAAACCUCAGCCCAUAACGCCUUGCUACGCCACACCCCCACGGGUAAAUCAGCAGUAAUAAACAUUGGGCUAUAAGUGCAAACUUGACCCAACUACAACAACACCAGGGCUGGUUAAUUUCGUGCCAGCCACCGCGGUUAUACGAAAAGCCCAAAAUAACGUCAAACGGCGUAAAAUGUGACUAGAGAUUCUUAACAUUAAAAGUAUUAAAAUUCAUUAACCUGUUGUAAAACACUAAGACAAUGAAGAAAACCAGAACAAAUACUUUUAAUUUUAUUUUCUUGACCACACGAAAGCUUAGAAACAAACUAGGAUUAGAUACCCUACUAUGCUAAGCCCUAAACAUUGAUUAGCCUUUUACAAGACUUUCCGCCAGAGAACUACAAGUGAAAAACUUGAAACUCAAAGGACUUGACGGUGUCCCACAUCGACCUAGAGGAGCCUGUCCUAUAAUCGAUACUCCCCGCUCCACCCAACCCCAACUAGCAUAUGUCAGCCUAUAUACCGCCGUCGAUCAGCCUACCCUAUGAAGGUCCAACAGUAGACACAACAGCCCCUUCGCUAAUACGUCAGGUCAAGGUGUAGCAAAUGUUGGGGAAGAGAUUGGCUACAUUUUUUAUAAUAAAAAAUACGAAAAACACUAUGAAACCGUGCAUGAAGGUGAAUUUAGUAGUAAAAUAAAUAAGAGACUUUAUUUUAAUAGCGCUCUGGGACGCGUACACACCGCCCGUCACCCUCCUCAACAACAAAUUUUAUUUUUAUAAACAAAAAAAGUGAUAUAGAGGAGGCAAGUCGUAACAUGGUAAGCGUACCGGAAGGUGUGCUUGGAUUAAC